UGCAAGUAGAACGCUGAAGGAGGAGCUUGCUUCUCUGGAUGAGUUGCGAACGGGUGAGUAACGCGUAGGUAACCUGCCUGGUAGCGGGGGAUAACUAUUGGAAACGAUAGCUAAUACCGCAUAAUAGUAGAUGUUGCAUGACAUUUGCUUAAAAGGUGCAAUUGCAUCACUACCAGAUGGACCUGCGUUGUAUUAGCUAGUUGGUGGGGUAACGGCUCACCAAGGCGACGAUACAUAGCCGACCUGAGAGGGUGAUCGGCCACACUGGGACUGAGACACGGCCCAGACUCCGACGGGAGGCAGCAGUAGGGAAUCUUCGGCAAUGGACGGAAGUCUGACCGAGCAACGCCGCGUGAGUGAAGAAGGUUUUCGGAUCGUAAAGCUCUGUUGUAAGAGAAGAACGAGUGUGAGAGUGGAAAGUUCACACUGUGACGGUAUCUUACCAGAAAGGGACGGCUAACUACGUGCCAGCAGCCGCGGUAAUACGUAGGUCCCGAGCGUUGUCCGGAUUUAUUGGGCGUAAAGCGAGCGCAGGCGGUUAGAUAAGUCUGAAGUUAAAGGCUGUGGCUUAACCAUAGUACGCUUUGGAAACUGUUUAACUUGAGUGCAAGAGGGGAGAGUGGAAUUCCAUGUGUAGCGGUGAAAUGCGUAGAUAUAUGGAGGAACACCGGUGGCGAAAGCGGCUCUCUGGCUUGUAACUGACGCUGAGGCUCGAAAGCGUGGGGAGCAAACAGGAUUAGAUACCCUGGUAGUCCACGCCGUAAACGAUGAGUGCUAGGUGUUAGACCCUUUCCGGGGUUUAGUGCCGCAGCUAACGCAUUAAGCACUCCGCCUGGGGAGUACGACCGCAAGGUUGA
rnacentral:rRNA from 1 species